GAGGGCACUGGAUUCUCCUAAAACUGGAACGGAAAGUGGUUAUGACCCACCUGUGCAGAACGGAACCUGAGCCAUCUCUCCACCACCCAACUUCUCGAAUUCUUAGCAGACAGAUGCCAAGAGCCACUCACUUUGUCUGUCUCCGCCUUUUAUAUGUGACCAGUGUGAACACCACCAGCACCGUCACCAGGAGGACUGCUGCCAUGGCAACGGUAGCAGAGAUGAUAUUCUUCUGCAGGAAGCUCAGCAGCUGUCCGCACGGCAGACUCUCCCUGGAGGCACCUAGGUAGGAAGACACAAGAGCAGAAGCUAGAGGAGGCCUGAAUCCAUCCCUGACAGGUUGCAGAAUGUUUGUGCAAUCCACAAAGACCUAAACAAAAUGAGAAAAUGAACCACACCGAGAUAUCUACUGGCAAUCUCCAAACGACAUAACGCCCUUAGGAGAAAGAGGCAGGUUUGGAAAUGAGAAACCUUUGCAUUCCGGCUCUGCCUCUGGCUAUCCGUGACCCACGUGAGUAAGAGGGCUGGCAAAAUCCCUGGGGGCAUUUGGUCCAGGGAAAUGGGAGGCCAAGAGCUGUCUUUGGCAGGCAUGGGAAGACCCCAGAGACAUUGUUAUAUGUGAUCUGAGCUGUUCCAUGGAACAAUCUAGAAGCCAUGGGCAGGAGCUCAGCCUGAUCUUCAUGGUCUGUGUGAAUUGGAAAGGAAAACUAACAAGAACAAAUGGGCAGGGUCAGAAAGUGACUUCCACACCCCCAGACAACCUCAAGCCAAGCUGUGGUUCCAGCGACAGGGAGAUAUACCUGAAACCUUGAUAGGAAAUGGUGGCAGGGGUUGGUGGGUAAGCUUCCUGAAUCUUUGGGCAGGUUCACAAAGGAAACAAGACUAGUUGCUAUGGAAUGAAGGAUAUUAAGUGUGUGGUAAGAGAUUCCCCAACGUUCUCAUCAUUUUUUUUUAAGAUUUAUUUAUUUAUAUGUGAGUACGCUGUAACUGUCUUCAGACACACCAGAAGAGGACAACAGAUCUCAUUACAGAUGGUUGUGAGCCACCAUGUGGUUGCUGGGAAUUGAACUCAGAACCUUCAGAAGAGCAGUCAGUGCUCUUAACCGCUGAGCUAUUUCUCCAGCCCAGUUCUUGUCAUCCUUAGAAAAGAAAGGGAUCCAUUCAUUUUCCAAGUUGGCUUAAGAUAAAGGUUCAACUUAAUAUGCCUGGCAAUCAGUUGACUUUGAAUGUGGCAACUCAUUAAAGGGAUCAGCAGACAGAGACCGAGUGUGACUGACUUCGUGUCACCCCUGAGGGCUGCAUUGCCUAGUCUUUCAGAGGCUGGUAUAAAGAGUGCUUAUGCAUGGGGAGAUAAGCUAAGCCAGGGAAUUUGCUCGGCACAUAAAAACGAGGACCCAUGAAAGAAAUGGCAGGCAUGGUGGUGAACAUCUGAAAGCCUGCUGUUCUAGAGAGACAGAGACGGGGCAUCCCCGGGGCUUGCCAGACAAUCAGCUGAGCCUACUUGCUGAGUUCCAGGCUAUCGAAAAACCCACCUCAAAAUCAACAUCAAGGGGAGGCCAAUGGAAUGGUUCGGUGGAUAAAGGUGCCUGCCGCCAAGCCUGACAACCUAAGUUCAAGGUCCAGCAUCCACAGGAUAUAAAGAAAGAACAGGCUCCUGAGACCUCCCAGACACAGGUAACAAGGGAAAAGUAGACGUUCUGGCCCUCGCCCACUCCUUAGGCCAUUGUCUCCAGGCCUCGCUCAAGAUCCAGAUGUAGAACUCUCAGCUACUUCUCCAGCACCAUGUCUGCCUGUGUGCCUCCAUGCUCCUGUCAUGAUGGUGAUGGACUAAACCUCUGAAGUGACUCCAACAUUUAAAGGAACAGAUUCUAGCCACAAGACAACAGGCUUAACUUCCCUUUGAAGGAGCAGAACAAGUUACCUCAGAGACAGCCAAGAAGUGACCUCAGAGACAGCCAAGGAGUGACCUCAGAGACAACCAACGAGUUACCUCAGAGACAGCCAAGGAGUGACCUCAGAAACAACCAAGGAGUUACCUCAGAGACAGACAAGGAGUUACCUCAGAGACAACCAAGGAGUUACCUCAGAGACAGCCAAAGUGAUACCUCAGAGAUGGCCAAGGAGUUACCUCAGAGACAGCCAAGGAGUGACCUCAGAGACAAGGACAAGCAGGAGACUUCUUCAAAACUUAAAGCUUUCACAGAAGGAGAUUAAUGCUGCUGGCUGCUUCAGUCAGUGAAGCUCCCUGGUGCAGCAAGCAGUGGCAACUACAGAAACUCACAGCUGAUCAAAGAGAUGAGAGUUCCUGAGGUUGGGAUCCCCAGCCAUACAUGGGACAUCUAGACCAUAGCUUCCAAGCUGCAGCGAACAUUGCAGAAGGGACACAAGACUGUAAGAGACAGAGGAAGAUGUGGAGUGUGUGGAACACUGACUCCCAGGGAUAGACAGGGGCUCUGUGCCCCAAUGGCUGCCCAGGAAGAUAACAAAGGAGAAGAACACAGUGUCGCUCAUUUUUGCCACAACCAGAAUGCCAUCAGGGAGGAGCCAUUCUCCUGAACUGCUCGCAGAUAGGACAGCCCCAAGUUCCAGGAUGCUGUGGAACCCGUGUUCUGUGAGGUCACACUGGGAAAGGGGCAAGUCUGUAGUCAGGGACGGAGAGGGACACUUGUGACCCUCAAACAGUCUCUCUGUUCACUGUCUCAGCUCUCUGAGGUCUGGUUAAUCCUGCAUGCCCUGCAACCUAAAGAUGGGAAUGUGUCAACAGGAUACACGGAAUGAAACUCAACUGUGGCCACUGGAGCUAGAGCCACCAGGUGUACUGUAUUGGUCAACAUAGCACAUUAACAGGAGGGACAGGAGAGGUUGUCCUGUGGUGGUAAAGGGCUUGCUUGGCACAUAUGAGGCCCUGAGGUGGAACCUUAGCACCAAGAAAACAAGAAGGGAUUGCAUUAGUGAAGUGUUCUCACUAUAGGUUAGCUCUGGAAGGGCCAGAGAUUAAAGAUCUGGUCACCAGCCCAUGAAGACAAUAGACUCUUUAGGAGGCAGGAGUGGUGACUGGAAGAUCACCAGAAAUGGGCUGUUUCAGGCAUUUGGUGGUCUGAAUAAGAAUGGCCACCAUGGGCUCAUUAUAUGUGAAUGCCUAGUCAUCAGGGAGUGGCACUGCUUGAGAAGGACUGAAGAGGUGUGGCCUAGUUGGGGAAAGUGUGUCACUGGGGGGGGGGGGGGUGAAGCUUUGAGGUUUCAAAAGCCCAAGCCAGGCCCAGUCUCUCUGCUCUUCCUGAUGCCUACAGAUCCAUAAGUAGAACACCCAGCUACUUUUCAGCACCAUGUCUGCCUGUGUGCUGCCAUGCUUCCCACCAUGAUAAUGCACUAAACCUCUGACACUGCAAGCAAGCCUUAGUGAAGUGCUUUCUUUAAAAUAAGAAUUGAUCUGGUUGUGGUGUCUCUUCACAGCACUAGAACAGUAACCAAACAAGGGAAUAGUGGGACCCUGCCCCAUCUUGCUUUUUGGCCGUCAUAAGGGGAACAGUUUGCUCUGCCAAGCAGCCCUACUCCACCAUGGUGCUUUGUCUUGCUGACUUCAUGUACUGAAACCUCUGAAACAAGGAGUCAAAGUAAACCAAAGUAGACCAGGCUGGCCUCGAACUCAGAGAACUGCCUGCCUCUGCCUCCCUAGUGCUGGAACUAAAGGCAUGUGCCACAACUGCCUGGCUGAGAAUAAUUUUUAAUAGGAGCAAUAUUUACAAUAGUAGAGUAAUCUUAGUCUACUUGAAUCAUAAUUACAGAAUACUAGUUUGUGUUUUAAUUAGAAACUAGUGUUUAACAAGACCAUCUCUACAAGCAAUGAACGGUCACUGGGAGAGAGACUCAGCCUUCCCCGGGUCAAGCUCCUGAUAAGCUAUCUAGUCCCAAGAGGUCAGCCCUAAAUACACUGAGCAACACUAAAUUAUCUCACUAAAUAACUGUACUUAGACACACAGACAUCAAUUAUAGUCAAAGAAUAAUAGGCUAUGAACUUCGGGAGUGGGAGGAAAUGACAGGGUUUAAGGAAAGAGAGGAAAGGAGAGUGAUAUAAAUAUAAUACUCAUAUAUGAAAUUAUCAAAAAAUAAAAUUAAAAAAGUUUUUAAAGAAAACUACUUUUAAAAAUUCUAUUUCUGGCCAGGCGUGGUGGCGCAAGCCUUUAAUCCCAGCCCUUGGGAGGCAGAGGCAGGUGGAUUUCUGAGUUCGAGGCCAGCCUGGUCUACAGAGUGAGUUCCAGGACAGCCAGGGCUAUAC